rnacentral:rRNA from 1 species
GGGUUGUGAGGUUAAGCGACUAAGCGUACACGGUGGAUGCCCUGGCAGUCAGAGGCGAUGAAGGACGUGCUAAUCUGCGAUAAGCGUCGGUAAGGUGAUAUGAACCGUUAUAACCGGCGAUUUCCGAAUGGGGAAACCCAGUGUGUUUCGACACACUAUCAUUAACUGAAUCCAUAGGUUAAUGAGGCGAACCGGGGGAACUGAAACAUCUAAGUACCCCGAGGAAAAGAAAUCAACCGAGAUUCCCCCAGUAGCGGCGAGCGAACGGGGAGCAGCCCAGAGCCUGAAUCAGUGUGUGUGUUAGUGGAAGCGUCUGGAAAGGCGCGCGAUACAGGGUGACAGCCCCGUACACAAAAAUGCACAUGCUGUGAGCUCGAUGAGUAGGGCGGGACACGUGGUAUCCUGUCUGAAUAUGGGGGGACCAUCCUCCAAGGCUAAAUACUCCUGACUGACCGAUAGUGAACCAGUACCGUGAGGGAAAGGCGAAAAGAACCCCGGCGAGGGGAGUGAAAAAGAACCUGAAACCGUGUACGUACAAGCAGUGGGAGCACGCUUAGGCGUGUGACUGCGUACCUUUUGUAUAAUGGGUCAGCGACUUAUAUUCUGUAGCAAGGUUAACCGAAUAGGGGAGCCGAAGGGAAACCGAGUCUUAACUGGGCGUUAAGUUGCAGGGUAUAGACCCGAAACCCGGUGAUCUAGCCAUGGGCAGGUUGAAGGUUGGGUAACACUAACUGGAGGACCGAACCGACUAAUGUUGAAAAAUUAGCGGAUGACUUGUGGCUGGGGGUGAAAGGCCAAUCAAACCGGGAGAUAGCUGGUUCUCCCCGAAAGCUAUUUAGGUAGCGCCUCGUGAAUUCAUCUCCGGGGGUAGAGCACUGUUUCGGCAAGGGGGUCAUCCCGACUUACCAACCCGAUGCAAACUGCGAAUACCGGAGAAUGUUAUCACGGGAGACACACGGCGGGUGCUAACGUCCGUCGUGAAGAGGGAAACAACCCAGACCGCCAGCUAAGGUCCCAAAGUCAUGGUUAAGUGGGAAACGAUGUGGGAAGGCCCAGACAGCCAGGAUGUUGGCUUAGAAGCAGCCAUCAUUUAAAGAAAGCGUAAUAGCUCACUGGUCGAGUCGGCCUGCGCGGAAGAUGUAACGGGGCUAAACCAUGCACCGAAGCUGCGGCAGCGACGCUGAUGCGUUGUUGGGUAGGGGAGCGUUCUGUAAGCCUGCGAAGGUGUGCUGUGAGGCAUGCUGGAGGUAUCAGAAGUGCGAAUGCUGACAUAAGUAACGAUAAAGCGGGUGAAAAGCCCGCUCGCCGGAAGACCAAGGGUUCCUGUCCAACGUUAAUCGGGGCAGGGUGAGUCGACCCCUAAGGCGAGGCCGAAAGGCGUAGUCGAUGGGAAACAGGUUAAUAUUCCUGUACUUGGUGUUACUGCGAAGGGGGGACGGAGAAGGCUAUGUUGGCCGGGCGACGGUUGUCCCGGUUUAAGCGUGUAGGCUGGUUUUCCAGGCAAAUCCGGAAAAUCAAGGCUGAGGCGUGAUGACGAGGCACUACGGUGCUGAAGCAACAAAUGCCCUGCUUCCAGGAAAAGCCUCUAAGCAUCAGGUAACAUCAAAUCGUACCCCAAACCGACACAGGUGGUCAGGUAGAGAAUACCAAGGCGCUUGAGAGAACUCGGGUGAAGGAACUAGGCAAAAUGGUGCCGUAACUUCGGGAGAAGGCACGCUGAUAUGUAGGUGAAGUCCCUCGCGGAUGGAGCUGAAAUCAGUCGAAGAUACCAGCUGGCUGCAACUGUUUAUUAAAAACACAGCACUGUGCAAACACGAAAGUGGACGUAUACGGUGUGACGCCUGCCCGGUGCCGGAAGGUUAAUUGAUGGGGUUAGCGCAAGCGAAGCUCUUGAUCGAAGCCCCGGUAAACGGCGGCCGUAACUAUAACGGUCCUAAGGUAGCGAAAUUCCUUGUCGGGUAAGUUCCGACCUGCACGAAUGGCGUAAUGAUGGCCAGGCUGUCUCCACCCGAGACUCAGUGAAAUUGAACUCGCUGUGAAGAUGCAGUGUACCCGCGGCAAGACGGAAAGACCCCGUGAACCUUUACUAUAGCUUGACACUGAACAUUGAGCCUUGAUGUGUAGGAUAGGUGGGAGGCUUUGAAGUGUGGACGCCAGUCUGCAUGGAGCCGACCUUGAAAUACCACCCUUUAAUGUUUGAUGUUCUAACGUGGACCCGUAAUCCGGGUUGCGGACAGUGUCUGGUGGGUAGUUUGACUGGGGCGGUCUCCUCCUAAAGAGUAACGGAGGAGCACGAAGGUUGGCUAAUCCUGGUCGGACAUCAGGAGGUUAGUGCAAUGGCAUAAGCCAGCUUGACUGCGAGCGUGACGGCGCGAGCAGGUGCGAAAGCAGGUCAUAGUGAUCCGGUGGUUCUGAAUGGAAGGGCCAUCGCUCAACGGAUAAAAGGUACUCCGGGGAUAACAGGCUGAUACCGCCCAAGAGUUCAUAUCGACGGCGGUGUUUGGCACCUCGAUGUCGGCUCAUCACAUCCUGGGGCUGAAGUAGGUCCCAAGGGUAUGGCUGUUCGCCAUUUAAAGUGGUACGCGAGCUGGGUUUAGAACGUCGUGAGACAGUUCGGUCCCUAUCUGCCGUGGGCGCUGGAGAACUGAGGGGGGCUGCUCCUAGUACGAGAGGACCGGAGUGGACGCAUCACUGGUGUUCGGGUUGUCAUGCCAAUGGCACUGCCCGGUAGCUAAAUGCGGAAGAGAUAAGUGCUGAAAGCAUCUAAGCACGAAACUUGCCCCGAGAUGAGUUCUCCCUGAC